GCUUAACGCGAAGAACCUUACCAGCUUUUGACAUGUCCGGUUUGAUCGGCAGAGAUGCCUUUCUUCAGUUCGGCUGGCCGGAACACAGGUGCUGCAUGGCUGUCGUCAGCUCGUGUCGUGAGAUGUUGGGUUAAGUCCCGCAACGAGCGCAACCCUCGCCCCUAGUUGCCAUCAUUCAGUUGGGAACUCUAGGGGGACUGCCGGUGAUAAGCCGCGAGGAAGGUGGGGAUGACGUCAAGUCCUCAUGGCCCUUACAGGCUGGGCUACACACGUGCUUCAAUGGCGGUGACAAUGGGCAGCGAAGGGUGACCCGGAGCUAAUCUCAAAAGCCGUCUCAGUUCGGAUUGCACUCUGCAACUCGAGUGCAUGAAGGUGGAAUCGCUAGUAAUCGUGGAUCAGCAUGCCACGGUGAAUACGUUCCCGGGUCUUGUACACACCG
rnacentral:rRNA from 1 species